UUGUUUCCUUUGAUGGCAGAAUCAUCUAUGCAACAUCAUCUCUACCCAAAUCCAUAUCUGCAGUUCUUCACAAUCCUCAUCUGCCUAUUUGGCUAUCCAUCUUGAUUCUGAAGCCGUAAGUUUUCUUCUCCCUCUGGCGAACUUUCACAGGAGGGGUUUCGGAUCAACUGUUCGCCAUAUUUUUGAUGCCAAAAUCGUCUAUGCAAAAAAUCACUGGAAUUCAUCUUUGGAAUUCAUCUUUUCUGAAAGCCAGUUGGUUCCGAUCGAUCCAAUAUAUGGAAAAAUAAUUCAGCCUUGAAAGUAUUUGAUGAAAGCCCAUAAUUUGGCAAGUGGCUGGUGAAGCCACUACAGUUUGAGCCAAAAGUUUUUAUGGGACAAUGAGUUGAACUUCAGACAGCAGAUUUAAGACGUUAUGCUGGUACAGGAUGAAACUACUUAAGUAGAAAAGGCGUUAUGCUGGUCUUAUGAAAUGACAAGCAUCAGAUCCCAUUAAAGCAAAAAACAAUUCAACUAUGGAGUCCAACACUACAACAAAAGACGUCCUUUCAAACCUUUUUCAGAAUUCCAAAUCCAAAAAAACAAGGUAAAACAAGGAGAGCGGAAAGCUAGUACAAUAGAAUGGUGAGUGCAAGUACUCAAGAUUGUUGCUUUCUGCUUUGCUUGAUUACACUACAAGUCAUAUGAAGGGCUUAUGGAAACAUUUUGAAUGUUGGUGAGGAACUAAAGAAGGAAACUAUGCCGUUACAAAAUGGGUCGCGAAUCUACCAACUUCAAGGGCUAAGACCGAAGACAUGCUAUGAAGUCAAGAUAUCAUAUCCUGCUUCUGUAGGUAGAUUAAACAUCAUUUGUGUAUGCGUGUGUGUCUUGUAAAAAAACUAAUUACUACUGGAGGGCCCGCGCGAUGCGGCGGGAUGACAAACAAGGAUGUGUAUAGGACGGUUCGGUUCGGUGUAGGGCCAAACAAACCAGUUGGAUUUUUUGAUUUUUGAUGGAUCGUAUGUAUUCCUUUUUUGUAUGUAGUUGACUAUUGGAU